UAAACUGGAAAGUUGUUUAAAAUUGCAUGUUCUGUUCGAAUCAUGAAAGUUUAAUGUUGACUUUACUGUCCCUUUAAUGUCACAAUGGGGUGGAAGUCUAGAGAGAAUGUACCGAGAAUGUGGAUUAAACUGUUUUGUUUUUAGGGCAAGAAGUCUGUAUUUGACCACUAAAAUUAUAACUAAAUGGUUAACAAGAUAGUCUACUGCACUUACAGUAAUGAGCUGCUGAAAAAUGAAUGUCAUUUUAGAGGGAUACCAUUAGUAGUACAUAUAGAUGACAUGCAGAAAUAACCAGUGCCUUUUGGAUUGUUUAUUGAAUUUGUAAGUGGCAUUUUUAGUGUCAAAUUUACCUUUGUCCACUCAGUGUGAUAUAUGCAUAUGUACUCAAAUAUGUAUAUCUUUAAAGGGAUACUGAACCCAUGCAAUUUUAAUUAAUUUUCUAAUUUACUCCUAUUAUCCAAUCUUCUUUGUUCUCUUGCUAUCUUUAUUUGAAAAAGCAAGAAUGUAAGCAUAGGAAGCCAGCCCAUUUUUAGUUCUGCACCCUGGACAGCGCUUGCUGAUUAGUAGCUACAUUUAGCAACCUAGGUGCUGGACCAAAAAUGGGCCGGCUCCUAAGCUUACAUUCUUGCUUUUUCAAAUAAAGAUAGCAAGAGAACGAAGAAAAAAAGAUAAUAGGAGUAAAUGAGAACUUUGCUUAAAAUUGCGUGCUCUGUCUGAACCAUGAAAGAAAAAUUGUGUGUUUAGUAUCCCUUUAAUAUUUAAAUGCUGAUUUACUUCUCUUCAAAAAUGUGCUGGGAGACCCGAUCCUUCCUAAGCAACUGGUUUGGGCAAAAUUCACCACAAUUAGAAAGUCUCCAAAGCACAGUUUCCUUGGCUUUUCAUUGCACUGAUGUACUAGGAACUCUCUUUCUUAAUUAUAUAAAGGGAUCUUGAAUAGAUGAUUAGAUUCACACAUUGGGUCUGUUAAUAUAACUAUACAACUAGAUCAUUUUCAAUUAAUGUAGUGAUGAUCAUAUUAAACCCUUAUGCUUUGGCUGAGGUUUAUUCGCAUAUUGAUUUUGUUUGUGUUGUGUAAACAUGAAUUGAUAAAAACAAACUUGAGUAAUUUAUUAUAUUGUAACUUAGGUAAUAUUUCCUACAUCAAUCUCCAAAUCGUUACUCGGCACUGGACUUUUGUUUAAAUGAGUAGAAAAUAUAUGUGAUGCAGUAAUAGGCACGACGAGUAUAUCUGCUUGGUUUCAGGGGAAGCCUGGAGCAUUUUGUGUAACCAUGCACGGUAAGUCAUUCAGGCAGUAAUGAAUAUAGAAAGCAGCAUGACGUUUCUGCUGCCUUUUUUUAACUUAGCCAUACUCUCAGGAGCUCUUAUGUGUCUGGUUGUUUUUUAUGUGAUACUUGCACUAAAGUUUCAUUGUAUUGAAUAACUCAUGGGUAUAUGAACCUCUUUUGAGUUCAACUUCUUCUAUUUCUAGUCAAUAUGACCUCGCCAUACAGCUUAUGGUAAAUAUUAACCUUAAAGACACGCUAAAGUAAACAUAAAUUCUGUUUUUUAAAUGUGCUUUGUUCUUUUGUUAUCCUUUGUUAAAGAGUAGGCUCAAAAGCAGUAAUUAGCUACUUGGAGCUAGCUGAACACAUCUGGCAAGCUAAUAAGAGGAUUAUGGGUGCAUCCACCAAUCACCAGCUAGCUCUGAACCUUUUAGUUAUGGUCAUCAACAAAAGAUUCAAAGAGCAUAAAGCACAUUAUUAGAUAAUAGAGGUAAAUUGAAAGUUGUUUUAAAUUGCAUUCUCUAUUUGAUGAAAAGUUAAUUAUGACUUUACAGUAAAAUAAACCUGUUUCUUUUCCUACUCAUUUUCUCUAAAUGCGACCAUUUAUUGCAUUGUAAACAGGGAUAUUACACUGCCAGUUUACUGAAUGAAUUACAUUUAUGUGUAUUUGUGUUUAUGCAGGCAUUUGUUGAAUAUAAAACAUUAACUGAUAUUUUGUUUAUUGACAGUGUGUCUAUUUUUGGGAAAGUCCAGAGCUAGUUUGAACUGUCAUACUUGCUCACGACAUAGCAAAUCAUUAAACCAAUUAUAUAAGGUUAAAAAAAAAAAUUGCACCUUUCAUAGCUUAUUGUACUUGUCAAUGAUUUUAAACGUUUUUUUCUUAUAUUGGCAAGCAGCAAACAAGCAAAUGCCAAAACUGGAGGACAAUUUGUAAAUGAUUAAAUGCAUUAUUUCCUGAAAAGAAAAAAUGACAAUGGAACGUAAUUGGCAAUUAAAUAAUAAAAUUCUAUAUACCAGAA